CCCUAUAAUGCAUUAAGUGAAGUUUAAAAAUUUUAAAAAAUACCUAACAAUUGAACUUUUGAUGAAAAUUUUGUUUUGAAAAAAAUUUGUGUAUUAAAAAUAAGUUUAACUCGUAUGAAUUUAGAAAGUUAAUAAAAAUACAAUUUUAAAUUCGUAAAGGUUAAUGGUCUUACCACAGAGCACCGCGGAUGAGCAUUUAAUAGGGAGUUCACGUCUUCUUCCUAACCUUCCUAAUGUCGCAAAACUUUCCAAGAGGUACUCGGUAAAAUGCGAACGCGAACUGAGAACUGGUAAUAUGCGAACUUUUUUGCGAACCAUCGUCCUAUUGGUUGUAAAUUUUUUAUUUUUAUUAUUUUAUUCAUAUAUUUGCCGUACAUAU